rnacentral:misc_RNA from 1 species
GAAAUGCGAUACGUAGUGUGAAUUGCAGAAUUCAGUGAAUCAUCGAAUCUUUGAACGCACAUUGCGCCCUUUGGUAUUCCUUAGGGCAUGCCUGUUCGAGCGUCAUCUAAACCUUCAAGCCCUGCUUGGUGUUGGGUGCCUGUCCCGCCUCCGCGCGCGGACUCACCUCAAAUCCAUUGGCGGCCCCCGCGUCGGCCACGAGCGCAGCAGAAACGCGAACUCGUGAGCCCGUCCGGGCGGCUCCCAGAAGCUACACCCACCCAGUUUGACCUCGGAUCAGGUAGGGAUACCCGCUGAACUUAAGC